rnacentral:lncRNA from 1 species
GAUCAGCUUAAAUAGGUCCACUUGAAGUUCACAACUGCCAAAACCAGUGUUCAGAUUGAAAGCAUGGGGGCAUUUGAGAAGCAUUUAUGAACUUCCUUACCCAAGAUUAUCCAGGAGGCUGAAAGCCGAAGGAGGGCGCCUGGCCCACAAACCCUUUCUUCUUGAUUAAAUUAGCGUUUCCCAUUCCCCAGGCUGAUUUCCCUUCUCUUUCUGCCUCCCCCAUCCCCCACGAACAUGCAAACUUGAUUCCCGAGCCCGGCUUUUGUGACUAAGGCUCCCUGUAAGCCCAUCAUAAACAUCUUGGUACAAAUGAA